GUCCGCUCCUGAUCUCAGUAGACCUGUGUGAUGUGCUCUUGAUCCUUUAUCUCUUCUUUUGUUAAAUGAAUCUCUGACCGAGGAGAGCAUGUUCUUUUAUUAGGUUGCAAUCAUGAAACUUCUUUUGUGUUUUCUUAUUGUACAAUACGAAGCUUCCAAAUUAUUUGAUCCUAGAAAUAAGUUACUGACUUUCUGUGUGCAGUGAGCUGGGAGCCAGGGUCAUCCCUCUCACCACCAGUCGAACAUACUACUUCAGCCACCAUGUCGAGCGAUAUAAAAGGGUUCUCUGUUUCAUUGAGCAACGACACGAGAUUGUGCCCCCUCUUGCUCCUGGUGCAUGUUGCUGCCCUCCUUUCCCCUCUGACUUGACUUGCUUUACAUUGUGUGAAGUUGUUUACUUUCAACUUUACAAAGCUAUAUCAAGUUCGCAACUGUACUUGGCUACACCUAUAACAUGAUGCAUUUCUCUUCCAGUUUAUUGAAUAUAUUUUUAUGGAUUGAAUGUUCAAUCUGGUACCGUUGUAUCACUCAUUUAACUACCUUAAUGUGUUCACAAAACUCCUUCUGUAGCUAAGAUUUCUUUGUACAACACAUCCUAAUUAUUGCUCUUAUUCUUAAAUCUUAUUUCACUUUAUUCAGCUGCAGUCUGGGUUAAGAUUGUUUUUGUGCCAGAAACAGACUAGGCAAUGCUCUAACCUUGGCAGAAAAAAUCGUCUAAAUUUCAUAAAUAAGGUAGUGGAAUAUCUUUUAAUAUGUUCAUUUAAAUAUCUUGAGUUGACCUAUAUGGGUUGCUUCUGUGCACACUUUCUUUGAUAUGCAUUGCUAGGAGAGAAAUUCUUUCAUGGUAAUGAUGUAUUACCGAUAUUCACUCUGUUUCUUAGGCCUAUAGGUUUCUUUUUGUGGGAUGCAGUUACGGUACCAUAUGAAUAUGAUCCUCGAGUUGCAUAUUAUUGCCCUUUUGAACAUAGACAUGUGCCAUGUAGUAUAACAUUUAUAAAGAAUGUCUUGGAAAUUGCAAGUAGAUGAUUACAGUUACCCUAUAACUUUAGGAGUAAGAUAUAUAUGAUGAUAGAAUCUAGAGAUGCUUGCUAAUCUAUAACAAUAAGAUCCAGUCACAUGCAAUAUGUUUUAUUCAUAGAAACAGGGGAUCAAUCUGGCUGAAAGUAAUCAUCUUAUGGCGUGGCAUGAAGAGAUGUGUGUAGAUCUGAGAAAGAAGAGGAAUAAUCCAACAGAAGAAUUUAGGGAAUAAGAACAAGUUGGCAUUUCUCUCUUGUGAACACAGUCGUGCCUGCCUUUUGAUUUUAUUAUUUGUGCUAAUGCAAACAUGAAUUCUCUAUAGUUCUUGACGCAACACCGCUAAUUACUCAAUCUGCAAUACAUGAUUAGUUCUUGGAGAAGUUUAGUGCAUAAAUUAGAAUUCUGUAAAGUUAGUCUAAGAUCCUGUCUCUAGGCCAGGAUAGAUUUCUCAAUAUCAUUUUUGGGAUUGUUUGAACACUGAACAACAUUGCCAGGUCAACCAUUUCUCAUGUGUUUGUCAUAUCUAUAGGUAUUGUGCUGUCUCAAUUUUUUCACCAGCCUCUUUCACUGACCCGUAAACUAUCUGUCUCGAGGUCUUGCCAACUGUAUUUGGGUUUAGAAAAACAAAUAACUAUUUUGGACUUAUUUUUGCAUCAACUACUUUGUAGGUAUUAUGUGCGUUGUCACGGAUUUGAUAUCAUGUAGUUCGAGGGAUUUCAGAAGUUGUGUAUGGAUGGUUACUGAAAGAAGAAGGAUUCAAGCGGCAUACUUUCACUUGACAGAUGCUUUAACCGCAAGAACUGUUGUUAUUUUCUUUUCCUUUCCUGCAAUGAUGGUAGUUCGCCUUUGAUUCUAGAAGUCGCAAAGGAAUGAAGGGUAGAGAUUUCCAUUGUCGUUGAAUUGGUGGGAUUGUCACCAAGUUAGUGUUGCAGAUUGUUUCUAUUUUAGAGCAAGAAGCCAAAUCA